rnacentral:rRNA from 1 species
UACGUAGGGACCAAGCGUUGUUCGGAUUUACUGGGCGUAAAGGGUGCGUAGGCGGCGCGUCAAGUCAGUUGUGAAAUCUUAAGGCUUAACCUUAAACGGUCAACUGAUACUGUCGUGCUAGAGUGCAGAAAGGGCAAUCGGAAUUCUUGGUGUAGCGGUGAAAUGCGUAGAUAUCAAGAGGAACACCUGAGGCGAAGGCGGGUUGCUUGGCUGACACUGACGCUGAGGAGCGAAAGCGUGGGGAGCGAACAGG